rnacentral:rRNA from 1 species
GAUGAACGCUGGCGGCGUGCCUAAUACAUGCAAGUCGAGCGAACAGACGAGGAGCUUGCUCCUCUGACGUUAGCGGCGGACGGGUGAGUAACACGUGGAUAACCUACCUAUAAGACUGGGAUAACUUCGUGAAACCGGAGCUAAUACCGGAUAAUAUAUUGAACCGCAUGGUUCAAUAGUGAAAGACGGUUUUGCUGUCACUUAUAGAUGUAUCCGCGCCGCAUUAGCUAGUUGGUAAGGUAACGGCUUACCAAGGCUACGAUGCGUAGCCGACCUGAGAGGGUGAUAGGCCACACUGGAACUGAGACACGGUCCAGACUCCUACGGGAGGCAGCAGUAGGGAAUCUUCCGCAAUGGGCGAAAGCCUGACGGAGCAACGCCGCGUGAGUGAUGAAGGUCUUCGGAUCGUAAAACUCUGUUAUUAGGGAAGAACAAAUGUGUAAGUAACUAUGCACGUCUUGACGGUACCUAAUCAGAAAGCCACGGCUAACUACGUG